rnacentral:rRNA from 1 species
CCUACGGGGGGCAGCAGUGAGGAAUAUUGGUCAAUGGGCGAGAGCCUGAACCAGCCAAGUCGCGUGAAGGAAGAAGGUACUUAGUAUUGUAAACUUCUUUUGUCGGGGAACAAAGGCGGAGACGCGUCUCCGGAUGAGUGUACCCGAAGAAAAAGCAUCGGCUAACUCCGUGCCAGCAGCCGCGGUAAUACGUAGGAUCCGAGCAUUAUCCGGAGUGACUGGGUGUAAAGAGUUGCGUAGGUGGCAUAGUAAGUAGCUAGUGAAAUCUGGUGGCUCAACCAUUCAGACUAUUAGCUAAACUGCUA